UGUUCUGUGGCUUAGUAGGUUAAAGCUCCGAUCUAGCGAAUACGGAGUCGUGUCGUGGAUUCGAAUCCCACCAGAACGC
rnacentral:tRNA from 1 species